rnacentral:rRNA from 1 species
AACGAACGCUGGCGGCAUGCCUAACACAUGCAAGUCGAACGAGAUCUUCGGGUCUAGUGGCGCACGGGUGCGUAACGCGUGGGAAUCUGCCCUUUGGUUCGGAAUAACAGUUGGAAACGACUGCUAAUACCGGAUGAUGACGAAAGUCCAAAGAUUUAUCGCCAGAGGAUGAGCCCGCGUAGGAUUAGCUAGUUGGUGUGGUAAAGGCGCCACCAGGCGACGAUCCUUAGCUGGUAUGAGAGGAUGAUCAGCCACACUGGGACUGAGACACGGCCCAGACUCCUACGGGAGGCAGCAGUGGGGAAUAUUGGACAAUGGGCGAAAGCCUGAUCCAGCAAUGCCGCGUGAGUGAUGAAGGCCUUAGGGUUGUAAAGCUCUUUUACCCGGGAUGAUAAUGACAGUACCGGGAGAAUAAGCGCCGGCUAACUCCGUGCCAGCCGCCGCCGUAA